rnacentral:rRNA from 1 species
CCUACGGGAGGCAGCAGUGGGGAAUUUUGGACAAUGGGCGCAAGCCUGAUCCAGCAAUGCCGCGUGAGUGAAGAAGGCCUUCGGGUUGUAAAGCUCUUUUGUCAGGGAAGAAACGGUGUGGGCUAAUAUCCCGCACUAAUGACGGUACCUUGAAGAAUAAGCACCGGCUAACUACGUGCCAGCAGCCGCGGUAAUACGUAGGGUGCAAGCGUUAAUCGGAAUUACUGGGCGUAAAGCGUGCGCAGGCGGUUUUGUAAGUUUGUCGUGAAAUCCCCGGGCUCAACCUGGGAAUGGCGAUGAAGACUGCAAGGCUAGAAUCUGGCAGAGGGGGGUAGAAUUCCACGUGUAGCAGUGAAAUGCGUAGAGAUGUGGAGGAACACCGAUGGCGAAGGCAGCCCCCUGGGUCAAGAUUGACGCUCAUGCACGAAAGCGUGGGGAGCAAACAGGAUUAGAUACCCUGGUAGUCCACGCCCUAAACGAUGUCUACUAGUUGUCGGGUUUUAAUUAACUUGGUAACGCAGCUAACGCGUGAAGUAGACCGCCUGGGGAUACGGUCGCAAGNUUAAAACUAAAGAUAGUGCGNGNGAGNGNGACGAGACGACGAGAGAG